AUCAUUACACAAAUAUGAAGGCGGGCUGGCCCUCCCGGGGUGGCCAGCCUUGCUGAAUUAUUCCACCCGUGUCGUUUGCGUACUUCUUGUUUCCUUGGUGGGCUCGCCCACCACAAGGACCAACCCAUGGACUUUUUGCAAAGGUAAUACUCGCAAGUAACGAUGUAAUGAUUUAGGCUUUCUGAACGGAUCUCUUGGUGCUGGCAUCAAUGAGAAUUGCAGAAUAAUGCGAAUCAUAGUGUCAAUUGCCGAAUUCUGCGCCCCUUGGAAUCCUUGGGGGCAUGCCUGGCCCUUUGGUAUUCCAACCUUCAUGCCUGUUCUGGCGUCAUUUGUACCCUCAAGCUUUGCUUGGUGUUGGGCGUCUUUUUGUCUCCCCUUGCGGGAGACUCGCCUUAAAGUCAUUGGCAGCCGGCCUACUGGUUUCGGAGCGCAACACAAGUCGCGCUCUCUUCCAGCCCCAAGGUCUAGCAUCCACCAAGCCUUUUUUUUCAACUUUUGACCUCGGAUCAGGUAGGGAUACC
rnacentral:rRNA from 1 species